GAUGAAGAACGUAGCGAAAUGCGAUAAGUAAUGUGAAUUGCAGAAUUCCGUGAAUCAUCGAAUCUUUGAACGCACAUUGCGCCCUCUGGUCUUCCGGGGGGCAUGCCUGUCCGAGCGUCAUUUGCAACCCUCAAGCCCGGCUUGUGUGAUGGGUGCCGUCCCCUACGGGACGCGCCCCGAAGGCAAUGGCGGCGUCGCGGUUAUCCGAUCAGCCAAAGUGUAUGGGGCUUUGUCACUCACUUUACGGCCCGGACCGGCGCCAGUCCGAAUCAAUCUUUUUUCUAAAGUUGACCUCGGAUCAGGUAGGGAUACCCGCUGAACUUAAGCAUAUCAAUAAGCGGAGGA
rnacentral:misc_RNA from 1 species